rnacentral:rRNA from 1 species
ACGCUCGACACCUACGGGGGGCAGCAGUGGGGAAUAUUGCACAAUGGGGGAAACCCUGAUGCAGCGAUGCCGCGUGAAGGAAGAAGUAUCUCGGUAUGUAAACUUCUAUCAGCAGGGAAGAAAAUGACGGUACCUGACUAAGAAGCCCCGGCUAACUACGUGCCAUCAGCCGCGGUAAUCUGAGCGGGCUGGCAAGGC